ensembl:snRNA U6 U6 spliceosomal RNA
GUUCUUGCUUCGGCAGCACAUAUUCUAAAAUUGGAAUGAUACAGAGAAGAUUAGCAUAGCCCCUGUGCAAGGAUGACAUGCAAAUUCGUGAAGCAUUCCAUAGUUUU